rnacentral:rRNA from 1 species
CCUACGGGGGGCAGCAGUGGGGAAUAUUGCACAAUGGGCGCAAGCCUGAUGCAGCCAUGCCGCGUGUGUGAAGAAGGCCUUCGGGUUGUAAAGCACUUUCAGCGGGGAGGAAGGCGUUAAGGUUAAUAACCUUGGCGUUUGACGUUACCCGCAGAAGAAGCACCGGCUAACUCCGUGCCAGCAGCCGCGGUAAUACGGAGGGUGCAAGCGUUAAUCGGAAUUACUGGGCGUAAAGCGCACGCAGGCGGUCUGUCAAGUCGGAUGUGAAAUCCCCGGGCUCAACCUGGGAACUGCAUUCGAAACUGGCAGGCUAGAGUCUUGUAGAGGGGGGUAGAAUUCCAGGUGUAGCGGUGAAAUGCGUAGAGAUCUGGAGGAAUACCGGUGGCGAAGGCGGCCCCCUGGACAAAGACUGACGCUCAGGUGCGAAAGCGUGGGGAGCAAACAGGAUUAGAUACCCGAGUAGUC